GUAGUCGUGGCCAAGUGGUUAAGGCGAUGGACUAGAAAUCCAUUGCGCAGGUUCGGGUCCUGCCGACUACG